ACCGGCGGCUCGAGUGGUGGCCACUAUUACUGGGCUUAAAGCGUUCGUAGCUGGCUUGUUAAGUCUCUGGGGAAAUCUUCCGGCUCAACCGGAAGGCGUCUCAGGGAUACUGGCAGGCUAGGGACCGGAAGAGGUGAGAGGUACUCCAGGGGUGGGGUUGAAAUCCUGUAAUCCUUGGGGGACGACGUGUGGGGGAGGCGUCUCACCAGGACGGCUCCGUCAGUGAGGAACGAAAGCUGGGGGAGCAAAGCG
rnacentral:rRNA from 1 species